rnacentral:rRNA from 1 species
CCUACGGGUGGCAGCAGUGAGGAAUAUUGGUCAAUGGGCGCGAGCCUGAACCAGCCACGUAGCGUGAAGGAUGACUGCCCUCCGGGUUGUAAACUUCUUUUAUAAAGGAAUAAAGUGAGGCACGUGUGCCUUUUUGUAUGUAUUUUAUGAAUAAGGAUAGGCUAACUCAGUGCCAGCAGCCGCGGUACUACGGAGGAUCCGAGCGUUAUCCGGAUUUAGUGGGUUUAAAGGGAGGGUAGGUGGGUGGUUAAGUCAGUUGUGAAAGUUUGCGGCGCAACCGGAAAAUUGCAAUUGAUACUGGCGGCCUUGAGUGCAGUUGAGGUGGGCGGAAUUCGUGGUGUAGCGGUGAAAUGCGUAGAUAUCACGAAGAACUCCGAUUGCGAAGGCGGCCUACUAAACUGCCACUGACAUUGAUGCUCGAAAGUGUGGGUAGCAAACAGGAUUAGAUACCCGAGUAGUC